CAAGAUUCGCCCCAACAGAUGAGCCGUGCUGGUUGUAAUGGGACCCCGGGGGCGGUGAGCGCUCGGUGGUCCUUAAGGGCUCUUUGUUCGGGACUGAGCGAGGGCUGUGGAGAGCUUCUGCUCAUUCCAAACCAGCGAGCAUUUGGGAGUCGGUAGUGACCUGGAUGAAGAGAGAGGGAGCUGAUGAUGUGAAGCUGGGAGGAGCAGCUGACAGCAGGACCCAGUGAACUUCAAGGAGAGCAGGUCAAGAAGAUGAGAAACUUGCACUACUGCAACUACUGCACUCUGUACAACAAAGAAGAUGAGGAGCUUGGAGCAUCUCCCUUCUGAGGAAAGGAUGUUCAACAACCUAUGGCUGCUUUACCAAGAGAAGGGAAGGGUGAAAGCUGCAGACAAGUUUUCCUUUUUGCAGAGAUUGCCUGAACAUGAGAUUUCAUCAGUGCUCUUCUAGGUUCAGUGCUGGAGCAAGGAUCCUGGUAGCAACUGCUGCCUCUGCAGAGGGAGGCUUGAAGGUGUUGUUUUGAGCAGUGCCUGCAGUGGAGAUUCAGCAGCCAUUGUUCAGGAAUUUGGAGUGUUCUGAAGAGGAAGGCCAGAAUUUUUGAUGGGGAGCUGCACACUAUCAAGAUGAAGAAGUGCAAGUGGCUGAUGAGGUACAU